rnacentral:rRNA from 1 species
GACGUAGGGCGCGAGCGUUGUCCGGAUUUAUUGGGCGUAAAGAGCUCGUAGGCGGCUUGUCGCGUCGACCGUGAAAACUUGGGGCUCAACCCUAAGCCUGCGGUCGAUACGGGCAGGCUCGAGUUCGGUAGGGGAGACUGGAAUUCCUGGUGUAGCGGUGAAAUGCGCAGAUAUCAGGAGGAACACCGGUGGCGAAGGCGGGUCUCUGGGCCGAUACUGACGCUGAGGAGCGAAAGCGUGGGGAGCGAACAGG